GACGAACGCUGGCGGCGUGCUUAACACAUGCAAGUCGAACGGAAAGGCCCCUUUGGGGGUACUCGAGUGGCGAACGGGUGAGUAACACGUGAGUAACCUGCCCUUGACUUCGGGAUAACUUCAGGAAACUGGGGCUAAUACCGGAUAGGAAUCCUUGCUGCAUGGUGGGGGUUGGAAAGCUUCGGCGGUUUUGGAUGGACUCGCGGCUUAUCAGCUUGUUGGUGGGGUAGUGGCUUACCAAGGCUUUGACGGGUAGCCGGCCUGAGAGGGCGACCGGCCACAUUGAGACUGAGGUACGGCCCAGACUCCUACGGGAGGCAGCAGUGGGGAAUAUUGCACAAUGGGCGGAAGGCUGAUGCAGCAACGCCGCGUGCGGGAUGACGGCCUUCGGGUUGUAAACCGCUUUCAGCAGGGGCGAAGCUUGUGGUGACGGUACCUGCAGAAGAAGCACCGGCUAACUACGUG
rnacentral:rRNA from 1 species